CGUAGGUGCGAGCGUUGUCCGGAAUUACUGGGCGUAAGAGCUCGUAGGUGGUUUGUCGCGUCGUGUGUGAAAUUCCGGGGCGUUAACUUCGGGGUUGCAUACGAUACGGGCAUAACUUGAGUGCUGUAGGGGAGACUGGAAUUCCUGGUGUAGCGGUGAAAUGCGCAGAUAUCAGGAGGAACACCGAUGGCGAAGGCAGGUCUCCGGGCAGUAACUGACGCUGAGGAGCGAAAGCAUGGGGGAGCGAACAGGAUU
rnacentral:rRNA from 1 species